rnacentral:rRNA from 1 species
GAUGAACGCUGGCGGCGUGCCUAAUACAUGCAAGUCGAGCGAACAGACGAGGAGCUUGCUCCUCUGACGUUAGCGGCGGACGGGUGAGUAACACGUGGAUAACCUACCUAUAAGACUGGGAUAACUUCGGGAAACCGGAGCUAAUACCGGAUAAUAUAUUGAACCGCAUGGUUCAAUAGUGAAAGACGGUUUUGCUGUCACUUAUAGAUGGAUCCGCGCCGCAUUAGCUAGUUGGUAAGGUAACGGCUUACCAAGGCAACGAUGCGUAGCCGACCUGAGAGGGUGAUCGGCCACACUGGAACUGAGACACGGUCCAGACUCCUACGGGAGGCAGCAGUAGGGAAUCUUCCGCAAUGGGCGAAAGCCUGACGGAGCAACGCCGCGUGAAUGAUGAAGGUCUUCGGAUCGUAAAACUCUGUUAUUAGGGAAGAACAAAUGUGUAAGUAACUAUGCACGUCUUGACGGUACCUAAUCAGAAAGCCACGGCUAACUACGUU